GUGGGGAAUCUUGCGCAAUGGGCGAAAGCCUGACGCAGCGACGCCGCGUGAGUGAUGAAGGCCUUAGGGUUGUAAAGCUCUGUGGAGUGGGACGAAUAAGCCACGGUUAAUAGCUGUGGUGAUGACGGUACCUCUUUAGCAAGCACCGGCUAACUCUGUGCCAGCAGCCGCGGUAAGACAGAGGGUGCAAACGUUGUUCGGAAUUACUGGGCGUAAAGCGCGUGUAGGCUGUCGUGCAAGUCGGAUGUGAAAGCCCAGGGCUCAACCCUGGAAGUGCACUCGAAACUGCAAGACUUGAAUCUCGGAGAGGGUGGCGGAAUUCUGGGUGUAGAGGUGAAAUUCGUAGAUAUCCAGAGGAACACCGGUGGCGAAGGCGGCCACCUGGACGAGUAUUGACGCUGAGACGCGAAAGCGUGGGGAGCAAACAGG
rnacentral:rRNA from 1 species